AAACUCCUGCCUUGUGCGAUAAAAUGUGGUCGUUUUUAAUCCUACACUUAUAUUAAUCGGAGGCUCUUGUCUCGACGGGAAUUGCAGACCUCCCCCACUGGGGAAGAAGGGAGCGUGAAGCGUCAGCAGAGCAUAUCCAACCUUGCUGUUACAAGCCGGGUUUUAAUAUGAUCACAUACGGCUUGGCGGGAGUAUU
rnacentral:other from 1 species